rnacentral:rRNA from 1 species
GUAGGGAAUAUUGCACAAUGGAGGAAACUCUGAUGCAGCGACGCCGCGUGAGUGAUGAAGGCCUUCGGGUCGUAAAGCUCUGUCGCAGGGGAAUAACACAAUGAAGGUACCCUGUAAGAAAGGAUCGGCUAACUUCGUGCCAGCAGCCGCGGUAAGACGAGGGAUCCUAGCGUUGUUCGGGAUCAUUGGGCGUAAAGCGGAUGUAGGUGGCUAUGUAAGUCAGAUGUGAAAGCCUGGGGCUCAACCCCAGAAGUGCAUUUGAUACUGCGUAGCUUGAGUGUCGGAGAGGUUACUAGAAUUGUUGGUGUAGUGGUGAAAUACGUAGAUAUCAACAGGAAUACCGGAGGCGAAGGCGGGUAACUGGCCGAACACUGACACUGAGAUCCGAAAGCGUGGGGAUCAAACAGGAUUAGAUACCCGAGUAGUCC